AUCCAGCCGAUGAACCCCAAAUCGGACGAAACGCACGUCCUGGAU
rfam:Schistosoma haematobium scaffold1300_1, whole genome shotgun sequence.